rnacentral:rRNA from 1 species
UGGGGAAUAUUGGACAAUGGGCGAAAGCCUGAUCCAGCCAUGCCGCGUGUGUGAAGAAGGUCUUCGGAUUGUAAAGCACUUUAAGUUGGGAGGAAGGGCAGUUACCUAAUACGUGAUUGUUUUGACGUUACCGACAGAAUAAGCACCGGCUAACUACGUGCCAGCAGCCGCGGUAAUACAGAGGGUGCAAGCGUUAAUCGGAAUUACUGGGCGUAAAGCGCGCGUAGGUGGUUUGUUAAGUUGGAUGUGAAAGCCCCGGGCUCAACCUGGGAACUGCAUCCAAAACUGGCAAGCUAGAGUACGGUAGAAGGUGGUGGAAUUUCCUGUGUAGCGGUGAAAUGCGUAGAUAUAGGAAGGAACACCAGUGGCGAAGGCGACCACCUGGACUGAUACUGACACUGAGGUGCGAAAGCGUGGGGAGCAAACAGGAUUAGAUACCCUAGUAGUCCCUGAGCGGGCUGGCAAGGCGCAU